rnacentral:rRNA from 1 species
AGAGUUUGAUCCUGGCUCGAGGACGAACGCUGGCGGCGUGCUUAACACAUGCAAGUCGACGGUAAGGCCCUUCGGGGUACACGAGUGGCGAACGGGUGAGUAACACGUGGGUGAUCUGCCCUGCACUUCGGGAUAAGCCUGGGAAACUGGGUCUAAUACCGGAUAGGACUCCUGGCUUCAUGUUGGGGGUGUAAAGCUUUUGCGGUGUGGGAUGGGCCCGCGGCCUAUCAGCUUGUUGGUAGGGUAAUGGCCUACCAAGGCGACGACGGGUAGCCGGCCUGAGAGGGUGACCGGCCACACUGGGACUGAGAUACGGCCCAGACUCCUACGGGAGGCAGCAGUGGGGAAUAUUGCACAAUGGCGCAAGCCUGAUGCAGCGACGCCGCGUGAGGGAUGACGGCCUUCGGGUUGUAAACCUCUUUCAAUAGGGACGAAGCGCAAGUGACGGUACCUAUAGAAGAAGGACCGGCCAACUACGUG